ACGCUGGCGGCAGGCCUAACACAUGCAAGUCGAGCGGAAACGACACUAUCGAUCCUUCGGAUGCAUUAAUGGGCGUCGAGCGGCGGACGGGUGAGUAAUGCCUAGGAAAUUGCCUUGAUGUGGGGGAUAACCAUUGGAAACGAUGGCUAAUACCGCAUAAUGCCUACGGGCCAAAGAGGGGGAUCUUCGGACCUCUCGCGUCAAGAUAUGCCUAGGUGGGAUUAGCUAGUUGGUGAGGUAAUGGCUCACCAAGGCGACGAUCCCUAGCUGGUCUGAGAGGAUGAUCAGCCACACUGGAACUGAGACACGGUCCAGACUCCUACGGGAGGCAGCAGUGGGGAAUAUUGCACAAUGGGCGAAAGCCUGAUGCAGCCAUGCCGCGUGUAUGAAGAAGGCCUUCGGGUUGUAAAGUACUUUCAGUUGUGAGGAAGGGGGURWMGUUAAUAGCKKYRYMUCUUGACGUUAGCAACAGAAGAAGCACCGGCUAACUCCGUGCCAGCAGCCGCGGUAAUACGGAGGGUGCGAGCGUUAAUCGGAAUUACUGGGCGUAAAGCGCAUGCAGGUGGUUCAUUAAGUCAGAUGUGAAAGCCCGGGGCUCAACCUCGGAACUGCAUUUGAAACUGGUGAACUAGAGUGCUGUAGAGGGGGGUAGAAUUUCAGGUGUAGCGGUGAAAUGCGUAGAGAUCUGAAGGAAUACCAGUGGCGAAGGCGGCCCCCUGGACA
rnacentral:rRNA from 1 species